rnacentral:rRNA from 1 species
UCUUGUUAUUUAUUAGGUAUUAAUAUUGAAGAAACCUAUGCCCUUUGACGGCCCUUUUCCUUAUUAAAGGAACUUGUUAUUUAUCGAAAAUACCCGUUUAAUUUCACUUUAUUUUUGCUUUUAUAUCGCCGUCUUUAGAAUAUUUUUAUAUUUAUAUUCUCGAUAAUAUUAUUAAAAAGUCAGGUCAAGAUGAAGCUAUAAUUUAGGUUAUAAUAAGUUAUUCAUUAAUAUAAUUAAAAGAAAAUUAAUAAAAAUCCAUUUAGAAUCAAGAUUUAAAAGUAUAAACAAAAUAAUAUCUUAUUUAGAAAUAGUAAAAAAUGGUGA